GGAGCUUGCACCGCAGGACUUAGAGGUACCCAGCGUCACGGCUUCAUUGCUCCAGACCACCACAAGGGGGAGUUAGAGCACUCAUUAUGCAUUUGGGUCCCAAGGUUUCUAUAUGAACAAUCAUAUCGAGUGGUUCCAAUGAUGAAUUUUGACGCGAGCCACCCUUGCCUUCAUGGCGUGCUUCAACAAAGAUGGCUGACAAAGCAUUAUGGUGGAGCCAGAUGCAAACCCAUCAUAGACAACAACACAGAUGCCAUCUAUGGGAGCAGAAAGACCAUCUGUGUGAUCAGCCGCUGCUACCGGAGAGUGAGUGGUGCUCCAGAGAGAUCCAGGUGGCCAGGCUUCCAUCCUUCUCCCUGGACCUCCUUAAUAUCCACGUCUUGAACAUCAGACUCUGAGGCCUCAUCUUCACUGUCACUUUUCAACCUUGUUUACGAUGGCUCGUUGUCAGGCUCAAAAAGCCGC
ensembl:lncRNA